UGACCCCUCCUCCCUUGCUGGUGCCGCUAGGCCCUGGGGAGACUGGGGGGUGGGUGGGGCGAGCAGCAGUACCAGUCCUCUCAGGAGGCUCUGAGCUCACACACGUGCCCCUGUGGGCCAGGUAAACAGGGUGGGUGCCUGGGUCAGCUGCUCCCUCCCACUCAUCCCCUGGGGGUGGCUGGCCUGGCCAGUUCCCUGCUCCACACCCAGCUUUCUUGGCCAAGAGCAGCCCCAGUGCUGAGACACCCUGAUGACCCCUCUCAGGCUGGCCACUUCCUUCCUUGGUACCUGGGGUCCCCACGGAAGGCAGUCUCACAGCUCCCAGACUCUCUGUGGGCUGCAAGGUAUGGAAGAGUGUGAGGACAGUCACCUUUAGGUGGCAGUAUGGGAAGGAAGAGAGAUGGGAGAGAAAAAGGCCACCAAAGCUGAGAGAGCAAGGCCAAGAAAGGGCAGCUGCCUCUCAUCCCGGUGCCCCUAAGCCAGGCUGGCUUACACCUCGGGUGGGUCCUGCCCCACUGGGCUCCCUACGUUUGCCUCCUGGUUGGGUCCCGCCUGUUGUUCCUUUCUCCUGAGACCCUCCACCCCAUCACCUCUAUGAGACACCAACCAACUAUCUCCUCAGAUGUCCCCAUCCCCACCCUGCACCCCAAAUUCCUGGGGUUGGGAAAUUGGAACACUUUUGCACCUGCCUUAUCCCAUUUCGUCCUCCCUCCCUGAUCCUUGGGCUCCCUCUCUGUUUCAACACAGACUCUCAGACUCACAAUUACAGCUCAUUACCCUAUCCGUGGCUGGCCCUGAGUCACGAGGGAGGGACUCUGGGCUACCCAGCCCUGUCACCUUCUCCCAGGCCACGGUAUAAGGAGUAGCAGCAGGGAGGAGACUCUGGGAAGGCAGGGGAGCCUGGGAAAGGAGAGAGAAGGCUGCGGACUUAGAGGGACGGAAGAGUAAGGAGGAAGAGCACAGAGGAGGGCACACACAGACACACGGAGGGGGAGGAAGGGCAAAGAGAAGAAAACUCGGGUGGGAAGAAGACGGGAGGAAGAGGAGCAAGGCAGAGAUGAAGUCACAGGGCUCCCUAGCCUGCCUCCUGCUGGCCCUGUGCCUGGGCAGUGGGGAGGCUGGCCCACUGCUGAGAGGAGGGGAGAGCGCUGGAGCAGGUGCUGGGGAGGCCGUGGGACAUGGGGUGCGAGACGCCAUUGGACAGGGGGCGGGAGACGCCAUUAGCCAUGGAGUCGAAGAGGCUGUUGGCCAAGGGGCUGGACAGGCAGCUGGCUCCGCAACCAGGGAGGUCAUGGGCCACGACAUGGGGGAAGCAGCCCGUGCCCUUGGAAACACUGCGGGUGAGGCUGGCAGACCGGCUGAGAACAUCAUUCGACAUGGAGGAGAUGCUGUCCACAGCUCCUGGCAGGGGAUGCCAGGCAGCAGCAGUGCUUGGGGGACUGUGGUCCAACCUGGUUACGGCUCCGUGAGAGGCAGCAACUCACACACAGAGUGCACCAACCCCCCACCAUCCGGCUCAGGCGGAAGCUCCAGCAGCUCGGGGGGAGGCAGCGGCGGAGGUGGUGGCAGCGGCGGUGAUGCCAGCAGAGGUGGCAGUGGUGGUGGCGGCAGCAGCAGUUACGGGUCCAGCUGGGACCGUUCCUUAGAAAAUUCUAGGAAUUUUGAUCAAAGCGACUACUCAAGCUCCCAGGGACACAAUACCGGCUCUUCCUCGGGUAGCAGUGGCGGCGGAAGUGGCGGCGUAAAUAAACCCGGGUGUGACAGCCCAGGGAAUGAAGUCCGCAUAUCCGGAGGAUCUGGGGGUCAGGGCUUUGGAGGAGGACAGGGAGGCUCUGGUGGCUAUGGUGACAUCAGGGAAAUAAGAAAAGAGGGCAGUCGCCUGGUUGGGGGCCCCCAAGACAAUUAUCAGAACUCUCAGACGUCUCCUGGGCUCUUCAACUUUGACACUUUCUGGAAGAAUUUUAAAUCCAAGCUGGGUUUCAUUAACUGGGAUGCCAUAAACAAGGGCCAAGUCCCACGCCCCAGCACACGCGCCCUGCUCUACUUCAGCCGACUCUGGGAGGAUUUCAAACACAACACCCCUUUCCUGAACUGGAAAGCCAUUAUUGAGGGUGCUGAUGCGUCCUUGCUCCAGAAGAGGUCGGGCAGUGCCGGUCAGUCUGGCUCAGGAUGGCAAGAGGUGGCCGUGGUGACUUCUAAGAACACCUAUAACCAGCAGGCAUACCCUACUCCCUCUGGUGGGCAGUACUCAGCCAAGAUCCCCUCUAAGAACAAGGAAGCCCCUGGCCUCAGGGACAGGACUUCUGCUGAGAGAUCAGGAGUCACCUCCUGACUGGAAGCAGGGGGGAGCCACGCCUUCUUCCUCGGCUUCCCAGGUGCGCCCUGGCCUGCUGCAGUGGGUGAAGUUCUGGUAGAAAAUUAUUUCCAAUCAUAACUGAGGUCCUGAACAACAUCAGCCAUCAAGGAGCUCAACUGUGCCCCACCCCCAACUCUCUCCCUGUGUCAGGCUUGGUCUGGGUGCUGACACCUGCUUUUUCCAGGUUGAACCUGGUCUGUCUGUCCCUCGUUUCUUCCAACUGAACUAUGGGGUCUCCUUGUCCAGAAACCUCAUCGGAUAAACCUGCCACUUUCUUCACCUACUCUGUUUUGUGACCUGAAGUCACUGUGACAAUUCUUCAGGAGAAGUUUCCUACUUUGGGAUUUCUUUGUGGAAAUAAAACAUGAAUCUUAUUUCCUUAAGAUUUCUCAUGCCGUGUUCUUUCAUGUUAUCCUGAUGGCCCGGAUCAGGGAGAAUGGAAGUGAUCUAGGGGCAGAUAAUGUGCCUUCCUGCUGAGAGUGGUAUACCAAAUGGGG